UUGCCCUUUGUAUGGUGUGUGAAGUUGGAAACACUCACACGGCUACUAUUACAGCCGAGGACACCUAAACAGAGGGCGUUU
ncrna:unclassified sequences c4-2 RNA